GAACACUGCGCGCGCGCGUGCGUGUGUGUGUGUGUGUGUGCGUGUGUGUGUGUGCGUGUGUGUGUGUGCGUGUCGCCCUCUUCCGCUCCAGCUCGGUGAAGAGUAAGAGUCGUGAUCCAGGUUCACUCUCAGCGCCUGCCAUCAAGUGCAAGUUGACCCUGCCACAAGCUGGAAGGAGGAGCUCAAAAUGAGCAGUAAAACCCAGAAGAUUCUUCACACGACCAAUGAGAGCAGACAGGCGAGCACUCAGUCAGUAUGUAACUGUUGACAUGGGACCAUAGACACUGCUCUUUUUAUUCAAACGACACCAGAUCCACCUCUACUAAACCAGGAGCGUAGUGAAUAUGCACUUUAAGCACACAAGGCAAACUCGCUAAUCAGCAUUCAGGAAAUACCUGUCGGGGGACAUGGUCGUGUCAGCUGAUCCUCCAAGGCGUUAAGAGUGUAAACACACACGCAGGAGAAGAAAUAUUGUCUCUUCCUGCCAGUGCCACAGAAGACUGAGGGAAAAGGGAAGAGUUGUAGUGGCAGCAACAUGAGCGUUCAGGAUGAAAUCCCUCACGAGUGGAUGGACGGCCACGGAAAGGCCAGGGAGAGGAACUUGUCCCAGACGAGAACGGGGAGAAGGGCCCUGGGGGAGUACAACCUGCUGCCUCCGAGUGACAGCUGUGAACCGUUGGAGCCUUCAGACCUGGACGAGGCGGAGCCCUUCCCACUAAUGGAGACCAAGUUGUACAAGCGGCGCUGGCUCAUGCUCUUCAUCUUCUGCGUCUACUCCAUGAGCAACGCCUUCAUGUGGCUGCAGUACAGCAUCAUCAGCAACAUCUUCAUGCGGUUCUACGGCAUCGACACCCUGGCCAUCGACUGGCUCUCCAUGAUCUACUUCCUCACCUACAUCCCCCUCAUCCUUCCUGUCACGUGGCUGCUGGACAACCGGGGCAUCAGGGACAUGGUGGUGGUGGGGUCCGCCUUCAACUGCAUCGGGGCUUGGAUCAAGACGAGCACGGCGGACCCGGGAAUGUUCGCCAUGACCUUCCUGGGCCAGUUUGUGUGCUCGGUGGCCACAGUUCACAUCCUUGGCAUCCCGUCCAGACUCGCGUCCCUGUGGUUUGGGCAGCAGGAGGUGUCAACCGCCUGCUCCAUUGGCGUGCUGGGAAACCAGAUGGGUAUCGCCAUUGGGUUCCUGGUGCCACCCAUCCUCGUGCCUAACGUGGACGACAUGGAUGAGCUGGCACACCACAUCAGAAUCAUGUUCUACAUCAGCGCCGGAGUGGCCACCCUCAUCUUCAUCCUCGUGGUGAUCGUGUUUCAGGAGAGACCAGAGAUCCCUCCCACGCAGGCCCAGGCCCAGGCCAGGAGCAUCCCCCCGGAUGAGUACUCGUACAUGGCCUCCAUCUUGAGGCUGCUGCGCAACAAGCCCUUCAUGCUCCUGGUGCUCAGCUAUGGCCUGAACGUCGGCUGCUUCUAUGCCGUUUCCACAUUGUUGAACCGGAUGAUCAUCGAACACUACCCUGGCGAUGAGGUGAAUGCUGGCAGGAUCGGUCUGACCAUCGUCAUUGCGGGCAUGGUGGGGUCCCUCAUUUGUGGCAUUUGGCUGGACAAGACUAAGACCUACAAACAGACCACCCUGUUCGUAUAUCUCCUCACGCUGAUCGGCAUGCUGGUCUACGCCUUCACUCUCAACCUGGGUCACCUGUGGGUGGUGUUUGUCACAGCCGGACUUUUAGGCUUCUUCAUGACGGGAUAUCUGCCUCUGGGCUUCGAGUUUGCAGUGGAGCUCACCUAUCCUGAAUCAGAGGGAACCUCAUCUGGACUUCUUAACUGUUCCGCUCAGAUCUUCGGCAUCAUUUUCACCAUCUCCCAAGGGAAGAUCAUCGAUAGAUGGGGCACAUUAGCGGGAAACAUCUUCCUGAGCAUCUUUCUACUAAUAGGAUCAGUAAUGACAGGACUCAUCAAGGCUGACCUCCGGCGGCAGAAGGCCAACCUACGUGCCGAGGUGCAGACAGUGAGCCCUACAGGGUCCGUGUCAUCGGCGCAGGACUACGGGGCCACAGGGCGCAGCUGACAGCCACAGUCUUGACAUUAAUCCACAACCUCACUAAAACCAAAACACACAGCCGCCAAGAAGCUCACAACGGAUCUGGAAGGAGGCGUAUCUCCACCUGAAAUCCGGAAAGAGCAGAAGUAAUGAAGAGCAAAGACGUCCCCUCUGUCAACGACACCAUGUACACCCCCCCCCCCCAACCAAACAGAAAAACUGACUUG